rnacentral:lncRNA from 1 species
UCGCUAUCCAUUGCCUCUUUCUAUUUAGCAGACUCGGGGCCUGCCAUGGCUUCCGCAUAGAUGUUAGGUUCAUCUAGACCUAUCAGUGUCUCAUCACUGAUAAGUGUAUCACCUUCCGCAGUAAUAUGGAAUCCAUAGUAAUGCUCAGGUACAUUCCUAACCCAUAUGGAACGCCUCAGAGGUACAAUUGGAGGUACAACAGGAGUUUACUCCUAAAGUUGGCUGCUAGGGUUUGAGGUUCCUUCACCACUUGACUCUUGAUAUGGAACGCCUCAGAGGUACAAUUGGAGGUACAACAGGAGUUUACUCCUAAAGUUGGCUGCUAGGGUUUGAGGUUCCUUCACCACUUGACUCUUGAAGUUCUUCAAGGUCAAUUAGCCUCCCACUGUUUCCUUGGCUUAUGAACUCUCUC